CCAGAUAGCUCAGUUGGUAGAGCAGGGGACUGAAAAUCCCCGUGUCGGUGGUUCGAUUCCACCUCUGGCC
rnacentral:tRNA from 1 species